CCGCCGCCGCCGCUCACUCGGCCGCCAGCCAGCCAGCCAGGCCCGCGCCUUCCUUCUCCGCGCCGCAGCUCCUCCCCUGCAGGCAAGACGGGGCAACGGAAGGGCCGGGAGCGCCAAAACAGCUACCUCUGCCGGCUGAUGCGCGACACAGCUCGCCGGCGCCGGGAGCCGCCCCUGCCCGCCUACACCAGCUGGGACAGCCCUCGGAAGUUGAAUGUACGCAAGAUCUCCAGGAGGUCCCUUUGCACAGGCUUGAAGGAGGGGGCGUUCCUGACGACGUGUUUUAGGCUGAAUCUGAAGAAACCGCAGCCCUGGUCCCGCAAGUGACCAUGGCACCGUUGGACGAGACACUGGAGUCCUAGAGCCUUCGCAAGAUGGCGCCCCCGAGGGACCGCGGGAGUGGAUGCUCUUCUCUGGGCGGUGGGAAACGCAAGGCUGAGGGGGCCGCCUGGAAUCGGCAUAAGAAGACAUCCAGAGACGAGGCCGCAACUCGCCCUGACAGAGGAGCUGAAGAUGAAAUCCAGGGCUUGAUGGCAUCUGGCGGAUGACUGGGACAUUCUGCCUUUGUUGGGGGGGGUGGGGGUGGAGAACGUUCCUUGCUUUCCACUCAUUGAAAGUGGACCGCGCCAUUAAACUACACCGAACCGCAAAAGUUCAAAAA